rnacentral:rRNA from 1 species
UACGUAGGGUGCAAGCGUUGUCCGGAAUUUAUUGGGCGUAAAGAGCUCGUAGGCGGUUUGUCGCGUCUGCUGUGAAAACCCGAGGCUCAACCUCGGGCCUGCAGUGGGUACGGGCAGACUAGAGUGCGGUAGGGGAGAUUGGAAUUCCUGGUGUAGCGGUGGAAUGCGCAGAUAUCAGGAGGAACACCAAUGGCGAAGGCAGAUCUCUGGGCCGUAACUGACGCUGAGGAGCGAAAGCAUGGGGGAGCGAACAGG